CGAUUGUAGUCAUAUGCUUGUCUCAAAGAUUAAGCCAUGCAUGUCUAAGUAUAAGCAAUUAUACCGCGAAACUGCGAAUGGCUCAUUAUAUAAGUUAUCGUUUAUUUGAUAGCACAUUACUACUUGGAUAACCGUGGUAACUCUAGAGCUAAUACAUGCUAAAAAUCCCGACUUCGGAAGGGAUGUAUUUAUUAGAUUAAAAGCCAACGCCCUUCGGGGCUCUCUGGUGAUUCAUAAUAACUGGUCGAAUCGCAUGGCCUUGCGCCGGCGAUGGUUCAUUCAAAUUUCUUCCCUAUCAACUUUCGAUGCGAGGGUCUUGUCCUCGCAUGGUUGCAACGGGUAACGGAGGGUUAGGGCUCGACCCCGGAGAAGGAGCCUGAGAAACGGCUACUACAUCCAAGGAAGGCAGCAGGCGCGCAAAUUACCCAAUCCCGACACGGGGAGGUAGUGACAAUAAAUACUGAUACAGGGCUCUUUUGGGUCUUGUAAUCGGAAUGAGUACAAUUUAAAUCCCUUAACGAGGAACAAUUGGAGGGCAAGUCUGGUA
rnacentral:rRNA from 1 species